ACUGCUCAGUAACACGUGGACAAUCUAACCUACGGAAGAGGAUAACCCCGGGAAACUGGGGAUAAUACUCUAUAGACUAUGGAUGCUGGAAUGCUUUGUAGUCGAAAGGUCCGCCGCCGUAGGAUGGGUCUGCGGCCGAUUAGGUUGUUGUUGGGGUAACGGCCCAACAAGCCUGUAAUCGGUACGGGUUGUGGGAGCAAGAGCCCGGAGAUGGAUUCUGAGACACGAAUCCAGGCCCUACGGGGCGCAGCAGGCGCGAAAACUUUACAAUGCGGGAAACCGUGAUAAGGGAACUCCGAGUGCCCGUAAAAUCGGGCUGUCCAUCAGUUUAAAUAACUGGUGAAGAAAGGGCCGGGCAAGACCGGUGCCAGCCGCCGCGGUAAUACCGGCGGCUCGAGUGGUGGCCACUAUUACUGGGCUUAAAGCGUUCGUAGCUGGUUUGUUAAGUCUCUGGGGAAAUCUUCCGGCUUAACCGGAAGGCGUCUCAGGGAUACUGGCAGACUAGGGACCGGGAGAGGUGAGAGGUACUCCAGGGGUAGGAGUGAAAUCCUGUAAUCCUUGGGGGACCACCUGUGGCGAAGGCGUCUCACCAGAACGGCUCCGACAGUGAGGGACGAAAGCUGGGGGAGCAAACCGGAUUAGAUACCCGGGUAGUCCCAGCUGUAAACGAUGCGCGUUAGGUGUAUCGGUGACCACGAGUCACCGAGGUGCCGAAGAGAAAUCGUGAAACGUGCCGCCUGGGAAGUACGGUCGCAAGGCUGAAACUUAAAGGAAUUGGCGGGGGAGCAC
rnacentral:rRNA from 1 species